UAGGGAAUCUUCCACAAUGGGCGCAAGCCUGAUGGAGCAACACCGCGUGAGUGAAGAAGGGUUUCGGCUCGUAAAGCUCUGUUGUUAAAGAAGAACACGUAUGAGAUUAACUGUUCAUACGUUGACGGUAUUUAACCAGAAAGUCACGGCUAACUACGUGCCAGCAGCCGCGGUAAUACGUAGGUGGCAAGCGUUAUCCGGAUUUAUUGGGCGUAAAGAGAGUGCAGGCGGUUUUCUAAGUCUGAUGUGAAAGCCUUCGGCUUAACCGGAGAAGUGCAUCGGAAACUGGAUAACUUGAGUGCAGAAGAGGGUAGUGGAACUCCAUGUGUAGCGGUGGAAUGCGUAGAUAUAUGGAAGAACACCAGUGGCGAAGGCGGCUACCUGGUCUGCAACUGACGCUGAGACUCGAAAGCAUGGGUAGCGAACAGGAUUAGAUACCCUGGUAGUCCAUGCCGUAAACGAUGAGUGCUAGGUGUUGGAGGGUUUCCGCCCUCAGUGCCGGAGCUAACGCAUUAAGCACUCCGCCUGGGGAGUACGACCGCAAGGUUG
rnacentral:rRNA from 1 species